rnacentral:rRNA from 1 species
AUCGGAAACCGGGCGACUUGAGUGCAGAAGAGGACAGUGGAACUCCAUGUGUAGCGGUGGAAUGCGUAGAUAUAUGGAAGAACACCAGUGGCGAAGGCGGCUGUCUGGUCUGCAACUGACGCUGAGGCUCGAAAGCAUGGGUAGCGAACAGGAUUAGAUACCCUGGUAGUCCAUGCCGUAAACGAUGAGUGCUAGGUGUUGGAGGGUUUCCGCCCUUCAGUGCCGGAGCUAACGCAUUAAGCACUCCGCCUGGGGAGUACGACCGCAAGGUUGAAACUCAAAGGAAUUGACGGGGGCCCGCACAAGCGGUGGAGCAUGUGGUUUAAUUCGAAGCUACGCGAAGAACCUUACCAGGUCUUGACAUCUUGCGCUAACCUUAGAGAUAAGGCGUUCCCUUCGGGGACGCAAUGACAGGUGGUGCAUGGUCGUCGUCAGCUCGUGUCGUGAGAUGUUGGGUUAAGUCCCGCAACGAGCGCAACCCUUGUUACUAGUUGCCAGCAUUAAGUUGGGCACUCUAGUGAGACUGCCGGUGACAAACCGGAGGAAGGUGGGGAUGACGUCAAAUCAUCAUGCCCCUUAUGACCUGGGCUACACACGUGCUACAAUGGACGGUACAACGAGUCGCAAGACCGCGAGGUUUAGCAAAUCUCUUAAAGCCGUUCUCAGUUCGGAUUGUAGGGGGCAACUCGCCUACAUGAAGUCGGAAUCGCUAGUAAUCGCGGAUCAGCAUGCCGCGGUGAAUACGUUCCCGGGCCUUGCACUCACCGCCCGUCAA